CUGAGCCCAGUUCUCCCUUUGGACUGUGUGCUUCACGUCAAACUGUCGACUUCGUGUCAGUUAAACUUCAAUAUGUUGCUGUAAAAGGUCUCUGUUGUUGGUCCAGUUCUUGGUUGUUCUUGGCUGUUUUCUGGGGAUUAUUGCAUCUGGAUUCAUCCGGACUUCAUUCCUGCCGGCCUCUUCCUCUCAACAUGUUUGUGUUUCGGACUCCGCUCCUAGUUUUCCUCUCGCCUGCCUGCCUCAUCAUCAUUGGAAGUUUGUGUUCACCUUGUUUUGACUUAAUAAAUCAUGUUACAGAGUGAGCUGAGAGUCUGAGCCUGGCUCCUAUCCUUUUUACCUGCUGCCACGUUUGACACCACCUGACCUCUGCUCCACCAGGUUCCUCUCUGACGGCAGCACCCGGGGCUUCAAACUGGUUUAUACUGGUUGGAAACUGGGUUUAAUCUGGUUUUGAAAUGGUGUUAAACUGGGUGCACAUUUUUUAUUUUGGUAAAUAAAGUUUUGUCCUUCAGGGACGACGUC